GAUGAACGCUAGCGGCGUGCCUAAUACAUGCAAGUCGAGCGAACAGACGAGGAGCUUGCUCCUCUGACGUUAGCGGCGGACGGGUGAGUAACACGUGGAUAACCUACCUAUAAGACUGGGAUAACUUCGGGAAACCGGAGCUAAUACCGGAUAACAUGUUGAACCGCAUGGUUCAACAGUGAAAGACGGUUUUGCUGUCACUUAUAGAUGGAUCCGCGCCGCAUUAGCUAGUUGGUAAGGUAACGGCUUACCAAGGCAACGAUGCGUAGCCGACCUGAGAGGGUGAUCGGCCACACUGGAACUGAGACACGGUCCAGACUCCUACGGGAGGCAGCAGUAGGGAAUCUUCCGCAAUGGGCGAAAGCCUGACGGAGCAACGCCGCGUGAGUGAAGAAGGUCUUCGGAUCGUAAAACUCUGUUAUUAGGGAAGAACAAAUGUGUAAGUAACUAUGCACGUCUUGACGGUACCUAAUCAGAAAGCCACGGCUAACUACGUG
rnacentral:rRNA from 1 species